AAAAAAAAUUUUGUUUUUUUUUUUGGGCAACUAAAAUAUUUGGUAUUUUUUUUGCUUGCUGUGCACUGUAAGCAUCUUCAAUUUUAGGGUAUUUCUUGUCCUGGAAACCCUGAAUUCGCUUACCCUUUCAGCAGGUUCAUGAAGUAAUAUGCUAAAAGGAGCUUCUUUGUACGGUUUUGGCUACUAGAAGAACUGGGUUCUGGUUCUAGUGCAAUUGAGGGUUUCCAGUGUUCAAAAAAGCUAUGAAAUUUUAUACCCUUCCUGGUUUUUAGCCAAAAAAAAAAAGUGAAGGAGUUG
rnacentral:misc_RNA from 1 species